rnacentral:rRNA from 1 species
UACGGAAGGUGCAAGCGUUAGUCGGAAUUACUGGGCGUAAAGGGUGCGUAGGCGGAGAUGUAAGUCGGACGUGAAAUCCCGGGGCUCAACCCCGGAACUGCGUACGAAACUACAUCUCUUAGAGAAUGGCGAAGAAAAUGGAAUUCCAUAUGUAGCGGUGAAAUGCGUAGAUAUAUGGAAGAACACCUGUGGCGAAAGCUGUUUUCUAGCCUCCUCCCGACGCUGAGGCACGAAAGCAAGGGGAGCAACCAGG